CUGCAUUCCAAGCAGUGCUACUCUGAUUGUUGAAAGAUUGGCUAUUAGUUAUCUAGGGAGUAUAUCUAUGAACAAGUGCAUUCUACUUAGAAAACCUCAUCUAUGUUAUAUUUGAAACUUUCAGUUUAUUUUUAAAGGACAGGAAAGUGUAGGGGGCCAUCCUAUGAGUUUGCUCCUUUCUAGAGGGCGAAUGGGGAAGAAAGACAAAAAGAGUUAGUUUAGAAUGCCGGGACAGGGGCUCUCUGUCUCGAGUUGAACCGGAGCCCUGAGCAUUUGGCUCACCUCACUUUUAUUCACUUGGACACGUCGAACUCGGGACCUUGUGCUUUUGAGGCAGGCAGUGGAACCACUGAGCUAAAUCCCUGGCCCCUAAACCACUACAUCACUGGGGAUUGGACCCAGGACUUUCACACUGAGCUAUGUCACCACCUCUUUUUUAUUUUUUCAUUUUGAGAUAGCAUCUUGUGAAGUCACUAAGUUGCCCAGGCUGGGCUUGAAUUUACAGUCCUCUUGCCUUAGACUUCUGGAGUGCUGGGAUUACAGGCCGUGGAGAAAGCACUUAAAAAAAAUAAUUGCUAG
rnacentral:lncRNA from 1 species